ensembl:lncRNA
GGGUGGGGGAGGAGGAAGACCGUCCACAGAAAGCUAAUGAACGCUGUAGAGUUCCCUUGCAGACCGUGGCCAUGGCUUUGGCAGUCCCUGACAGACACGGCGCUCCCGUCCCCCCACACCUGAUAGCGGACUGAAAGCAGGCUAACACCGGCAGAGAAGCAUUAACGCUAGCUAACCUUAACGUUACGCCGUUUGAGACGGGAUGAGGACAACAUCUUCUGUUUCAUUGGUGGACCAUCAGACGUGAUUCUGUGACUCAUCCUGGGCACAGAGCGGCUGUUGAAGACACCCUGGGCUAAGAUUUUUCGGAGUGGCGCCGGAACAUCUGUUUCAACGACGACGCUCCGCCAUCUGAUGUUGGGCGUCAACGAGCAAGACUGGCCUCCGUCUUCAGAGCACCAGGUGGAGCCCCUGAAGAAACCUACCUGUUAAGAGGCAGACGCACACUAGCACACCACCAGCAUUCUUUUUCAAAUAACAAAAGAGAGAACAUACUCAAGACUGAUUCAACACUACUUAACUCCCCGUCAUCCUCUCCUCUCCAGUCCAAUAAAAACCUCUCCUGCUCUCUACCUCCCGGAGAAAUAGAAAAGGAAGGAAGUGAAAAGCAAUUUAUUAUCCUUUUAUCAGUUCCUCUUUUUCUCCAUUUCGUGCAACAGUUCUCCCAUUUUACCUCAGGGAUUUUCUCCCACUGCCUACCUCCUCCACGGAAACAGCCGACCCAGUGACUGGAACACAGAGAAAAAAGGAAAACACACCUGUGACCUCUCUCUGUUGUUACCAUGACAACCUGUAUUGCCUCUCAAGCACUCCUCACCGCAACCGUGAGGACCAGCAAUGACCUUGGACCUCUCACCAACCUGCCAGCUCAGACCUGCUCGCUGUCUAAAUUGUACUGAUCCACACUUGUAGCCUGGAAUAUCGGGCUAGUCAUCCCUGGAAAGGAAAAAAGGGUCAUAUUGCCAAUAAAGCCAGCUACACACUCACAAUAACCUCACCCUUCUGGUACAGUACACCCAGCAGGAAACAAUAUACCUCAGCAGACGCAGCUUCUCACUCAAGGAAAGUGGAAGGGAACCUUUGCAGCAAUAGCAUUCACUAUCCUGGUGCUUCAGUCCACCCAGCAGGGUAACACAUGCUCACCAGCCUGGUGCUUCAAUCCGCCCAGUAGGCAACUCACUUCAGCAUCUUCCAUUUGCCUUAGAGGCAAGAGUAUAGCAACCGUAGCCAGGGAGGCCUCUAGAGGAGCAGAGAGAGAGAGAGAGACUCAGGAGUGCUGGCAGUCGACUUCACUUCAUUUUGCUUCUGAGCAAAGUCACAUCAUACACAAGCCUCACGAUCCAAGCAGUAGCAUCAAAAAGCACCCCCCCCCCGCCUUAUGCUUCACCCUGUGAAGCCUCCAGAGAAGUAGAGCUACACGCGGAGCAGGAGAAGUUCUUGGAAGCCUCAUCAGCUUUUUCAUACUCUGGAGGCAAAGCCGCAAAGCAUGAAGAACUCCUAGGCAGAUUUAACUCUGAGCUUUAUGAACCUUGGAAAGUUAGAAGACUAAACACUGAGAUCCGUAUUGUGUGACAGCGAAGGGAAAAAGACCGGGGAAAGCAUUAAGUAAAGAAAAGAAUGCAUCGGUGAGUUCCUUUUUUACUAAUUUGAUAUGCUUGUUUAUCAGCAUGCUUCCCUCGCAUUCCUCUUCUCCUCAGUAGCAGGAGGCUCUGCAGCCG